GAUGAAGAACUCAGCGAAAUGCGAUAAGUAAUGUGAAUUGCAGAAUUCAGUGAAUCAUCGAAUCUUUGAACGCACAUUGCGCCCGCCAGUAUUCUGGCGGGCAUGCCUGUCUGAGCGUCAUUUCAACCCUCAUGCCCCUAGGGCGUGGUGUUGGGGAUCGGCCAAAGCCCGCGAGGGACGGCCGGCCCCUAAAUCUAGUGGCGGACCCGUCGUGGCCUCCUCUGCGAAGUAGUGAUAUUCCGCAUCGGAGAGCGACGAGCCCCUGCCGUUAAACCCCCAACUUUCCAAGGUUGACCUCAGAUCAGGUAGGAAUACCCGCUGAACUUAAGCAUAUCAAUAAGCGGAGGA
rnacentral:misc_RNA from 1 species